ensembl:lncRNA
AUGUUGAUUACUACAGCACAACAGAGACACAGUGAUAGUGCCGUGCUCGUGCAGAAGACCAACCCACAUCUCAGGCCUGUACCUCCAGAUCCACUACCUAAUGGUGCAAGGGAUUUGGGCCAAGGUCCCCCUCCCCCGCUCUAUCACUCGAACACGCACACCCUUCAGCCUGACCGCGCGCACACAGACCCGCGCGCAGAUCGCGGCGACCCGCAGCAGCUGAGCGGCGUGCCAAACGCCGACACACAACAGCAGAACGGUCGCACGCGCACAAGCGGACUCCUACCCAACGCAUCUCAGAAUGCCAAUUCGGACCCGCGCAACGGCAUCGACAACCGGACCUUCACGCACACCGAUGCUCCGAAUGCCACCGCGCAGCCACAAAACCCCGACGUUGUCAUCCGGGCCGGGGAUCACCAGGUCAGCCUGAACACGCUGCAGCAAAACAACCGUGCACAAAUGCCCACCAUUCAUGUCAACCUCACCUCGUACCCAAACACCGGUCAGCAGGCUCAGGGAGAAAACGCAUUUCCGUUGACCGACACGAACGAUCGCAACGCUUCGCGAAAUCAACAAACCGUGACCCAUACAGGGCAAUCACAUCCCAGAAUGCAAAGUGGGCAGUCGUACCGCAGUGACCCCCGGGCGAAUGGUCACCAGGAUCAGCCUGGCCUAGUCCAGACUGGAUACACACACUAUAAUGGAAAUAACACAUCUCAGCGAAACGCCAACACGCAGACGUACGGGCAGCAGCCAGAACCUCCUCGCCGGGCCGACAGGAACUCAUGGGAUCUUCUGAGAGGGACACCAGCGUAUCCCAGUGGCACUCCUCAAAGAGGACAGACAGCGCCUGAGUACACUUCUGACUACACAGACUACACAGACUACACCACCCAUCCACCCAUACGAGAGUUGAGCGCGCCAAACCGAUCCCAGCCUCCACCUCAGAGCCGAACCACUUCGCGGAGCAGAGCUCCGCCCAGUUCACCGCCAACGGACAGACGGACGCGGAGCCGCUCGGCCGAUGUUCAAGGCCCGAGUGGUCGCGGUGUAACACGGUUUGAGGCUGAGCACCACACACAGAGAGGCGGCCACACACAAAGGGAGGGCGCUCAGCGAGACAUCAGAGGCUCGUCUGGUGGCCAGAGCGCCCCCGGGCAGGAAGCCACGCACGACAAUAACCCCCAGGCGCUGCCCGUCGUGAGCCGCUCUGCUCUGCCACAAGGACCGGGGACACAACAGGGGCCGACUACGCCGCGGGCUGCGGAUUCAAGAGCUUUGGCUGAUCCUAAUCACCUUGCACAGGCACACAUGGCCCAGCAACACAGAGCCGCGCCGGUCCAAACGGCACCGCAAGGCCCGGGCAAACAGACACAACUUGUCACAAACGGCGCCAAUCGGCCCGGCCAAGGAGGCACGGCUCCAGUCCCGCACUCCUCUGCCCGGCGUAAUCCGGGCGAGCUGACCCAGGCUGCCCUCACAGCCCACACCAAGGGGGCUCAAGUGUUUCAGAGUCGGAGGCAACAGACCCAGGCAGCUCUGCUUCAUUCCGAAGAGCAGGCACGGGUCCUCGCUGCUCGCCACGCGCCGACGCCUCCCCCGGCGAUCCCCCUCGCGCAGUUCCAGACCCUCCCCAAGAAGAACCAGCACAGAUCCCCUGCCAGAGGCGCUCAGCCCGCGAGACCCCCUGUUAACGUACCGGUGGCUCAGCGGCCCGCACGAGUCCGUCCGCGGCCCGCCGACCAACACCGCCGUCCCGGGGAUGGCGGACGGGGGCAACAACCCCGCGGCCCCCAACCACAGAAGGUGGGUCAUGUAAUGUAAUGCUUCAUGUGUACAUUGUGCUCUCGUGUCACCUCGACAAUAUGUUUCUUUGUCAGGAGUGUGAGUUUUCUGGAUGGACGCUUGACGGGUUCUUGUAAACGGAUGAUGCAUUUUUCUUUUCUUUUCUUUUCUUUUUUUUUUUUUUUACAAUUGACAGUCUUCGUGGUGCCAUAAAUAUGUAUUUAGUCACAAGUGUUUCAGACACGGUUGCUUUUAAAAAAAUGUACGUGUCGGCUUUUGUCUUCUUCUGCGAGACACGUUGGCAAUGAAGGGCUUGUUGUGUCUCUCCAGCAUCAGGCACCUAGAGGGAGACCCAGAUGAUGGCAGAUACUACAGACUGCAGCCUGCGACUGUCUUGCAUGGAUCCACUGACACAAGCAAACAGCUGACAGACGUGAUCCAACACCCCGCCGAGCAAGACUGACUGCACAAAGUGUCACUCCCAGCAGCGCUGCCGUACCCCAGCGCCUCAUGCAGUCCGCUUCAAAUGAGCGAAAUGUCUCCUAUGGGGAUGUUAUAAAUGUCUUACUUUACUAGAAAGAAGUAUGUAUCUCAAGGGAGGGGGCCAAUGUGCAUAAUCACAGAACCUACGUGAUGAUACUGAAGCAUGUUUUCAUGAUCAAACCCCCCCCCCCCUCCCUCCCCUCCUCUCACCAAACACUAAGCCCACAUGUAUUGUGCUGCUGUGACUUCUGAAGCUGUGGUCAUGCAUCAGCGUAGACAGGUUCAGUGAUCCAUAGCUCCAGACCAAGCUCACCUCCCAUCUUCCAUUUAUCAUCAAAAGUUAUCAACACUACCUUGACAAGCGGCCAUUGAUGUGCUGCCGUUAUAUUUGUGUUUCACCCGUUGGUGACGGACAGGGGAGGUGACAUUUAUAGAAGAAGAAAUUAUCCAUAUUGGUGGUCUUUUAUGUACAUGAAAGUAUUUAUUCAGCGCCUCGUGUUUACAGAGGCGUUUUACGACACUUCCUCUCGAUUAGGAAAAAGGUUGGCGCUCCGAUUUAAGGCUCUGCUAACUAGGGAGGGAGAUCCCACUAAUGGAUAUAGGCGCUUAUCAAUGGAAAGCUUUGAAUCAAUGGAAUGCUCUAAUUGAAAUAAUCACACCCUCGCGUGACUGAUGUCAGCGCAAAGACUUCAUCCGCCAAGAUUUCUGUGGGGAAAAAGCACAAUGUAACAACGUGCUGUCCGCACUGGGUCGUGGACGGCACGUUUGUAAAAUGGGACGCCGGUCUUACUUUUACAGAUUUUGUAGUUAUUGAUUUAGAAUGUUUGUGCUUCAUUUUAAACGUGUUAAUGGAUUGUUCGGGUUACACCAAUCAAUUUCAACGCCAUUAUUAUUCAAUAAAUCGUCUUUUCAUAUGGAAUUUCAUGGAUAAGACUGGUGUGUGUGUGUGUGUGUGUGUGUUUUUAAAAUGUUCGUAUCAACAAAUCCUGAUGGAACUGCAGCAACUAAAACGUGACAUCUCAUUUCCCCUGAGCCAUACAACGCCAUUGAUAUCUAAUAAAAACACAUCAUUUAGCUACACAUUUGCUCUGUGGAACAUUAUUAACAUGAACGUGAGCUCUGGGGUUUGUUGGAGGCGAUUGCACGUGCGCCAUCCUGCUGCUGUAAAAUCAAUUUACUGCUUUGAGAGUCACAUUGAAAAGCUGCAGCAUUUCGAUUUCUUCCUUAAGAUUUCCAGCAGUCAGUAUGAUACAAUCCUUUAAAAUCAAAAGACAUAAACUGAACCUCCAUUUUGAAAAUCAACAUGAACAAACACACAGCACAUCUGGCAACUCCACCCAAACAUCGGGAACACUACUGCAUAGAAAAAUGAGUUUGUUUUUCAGAAAACGAAUGCAUGUACGUUGUUAAUACACUUGUUGAAUAUUCAUGCGAGAAGCUGCAAGCACGUUUAUUCAGUAUCUUCGCUCCUCAGGAGGGAUUUGCACAGAAUGGCACCAAACUCAUAUUUCCUCCAAUAAUAACAAAGUUUUUGCAGAACUUUGGCGAAUUGUACUGCUCAAACAAAUCCGGCGCAUCGUUACAUUUCUGCCAGCGUGGAAGUCACUUGUGUAGAAUAUUCACAGCACAAUGCACAAUCAUCCCUUAUUCUGCCUCCGCUUUCAAAAUGAGCUCAUUCUCCUCAAACACUCGGAUCUGUUUUUCCAGGACCACCUCGUGCAUGUUGACAGAAAGUCGGACCACGCAACCCGUCACUUCUUCUGCUGCUCCUGCGCAUCACAGCACCGUUUGCAGUGCACAUUCCCGCUCACUGUGCGUCUACAGUGCUAAUUACGCACGGUGCCCGUGCGCACAGAGCGCCGCCGCCGUUGGUUCUCCUCCGAUACGCACGUGCUCUUUGGGCUUUUGUUGUGGAGGCGCAGAACGCGGGUGUGUUUGGAUCACAGCUCAGUCGGUCUCCUCUGAUGAUCAGUCCCGCUGCUCUUGCAUUGAAGUCAGGUGGAGAUGGGAGUGCGUUCGAGCACCCUGGCGCCGGGAAAGGUUUGUGCCGUUGCCUCCACCUGCUCCGGAUGAAAGCUGCGAUUCAUGAAAAGUUUUGCAAAUAUCGCUCCAUGCCGUCUGGGAAGUGAAGGGCGUUUGUUUGUGGCCCGAACAACUGGAGCUGCAAGACCGCGUGGCUUCUUGGAACUCAGCAGACCCUAAAAACGCUGACGUGGCCCCUUUUUUCCUCGGCCAAUUUGAAUGCACAUCCUCUGGUGUUUUAUUGUCAUGCUUUUCCGUGAUUUACUGUGACUGCCGCGAGUAAUUGGAAUUGUCUACGCGUCGCUUUUGGAAGCAAGAAUUAACGUUAAACACAAGUGGAGUGCGCUGCGUGCAAACAGGCAUGUUUUCAGUAUUGAUGCUCCUUUUGGUGUGUGUCAAACCGGAGCAGAGAGCUUUUACUCUGGAGACUAUUUGAACUUAAAACUUAAUACAACAAGAUGGCCAAUAAGAUCAGAAUCAGGCUUCACCUGAUGACGUGUAGGAUAUUAGAAAUAAACUGACGACCCGGUUCAUAAAUUAAUAAAAGGCAUAUAGUGAACACCAGAAUACAGCCAUGAUUCUGAAACUGUGUAAUCAAUAAAGUAAUGACAAUAUUGUAAAACCACUGUAAUUUUGAAACUGUUAUCCAUAGAAUAAUACCAAUGUACAGCUAUGAUUGUAUGUAAUGUAAUCAGCUGGAAUGCAUGCAUGUAAUAUUUGCACAAUAACUAUUGACGGAGACGUUCGAAAUCCGAGUGACAUUGAUCUCAGCAGAGGACCACUCCCAGAGGUGUGGACACUAACUUCCACACCUUUACGCAUCUGUAUAAAUACCCAACCAUUGUUCUGGAGUUCGCUGGUGGAGGCAACAGACGGGCACAAUGGGGGGUCAAAGGGCCCUGGGGUCUGUUGGUUGCAAAGCUGAGAUGCUCUUUUUACCACAAUUAAAUUAAUUAAAUACUUUUGUUUUUAACCUUUCGAUCUGCGAUGUCCGUCUAGCGUUUCUUCAUUUUGAACACAACAGUAGUUUAAAAAUAACAGAAUUAAGUCAAAUCAACUAUCCGCUUGUAAGCGCAAAAGUCGCAAUGCCGCCGUUCCUUUGUUCACUGCAGUAACGUCAUCAGCCCUUUGACAUCCACGUGCCCUCCCUGUCAAAGUGCCCUUGAGCAGGACACUGAACGUCUGCCUCUGUGCACUGACCCCCCUCCUGCCCCCCUUUAGUGAAAUGCCACAUGAGUCUCACAGGAACAAAUUUAUGAUUCAACUUCAUACUCCAAACAAAAAAAAACAAAAAACCUCUUCAUUUUAGAGCGUGACAAGUGACCUUGGGUUUAUGGCUGCGGGCUGAGCCGCGGCGUCCUUCAACAGUUCGCUGACUGUAAAUCGCACUGGAUGGGAGUGUUAAAAAUGUAAAUCAGCUCUGUGGCAGCAAGGGACUCCAUGCAUCCCCACGCCACCAGGGGGAGCCACGAGAGAGGACCGUCCAGGUUAUCUCUUGAUCACUCCCCCCCCAUCCACCCCCUCGAGGCCUUCACCAUCUGUGCAACUUUGAUGCUGACUGCUGAAAUAAAAAACACCAGCCACAAGCCAAGUUAUUUCUGUCCGGCACACACACGCAAACAAAAAGACAAGGAAAAAUAAAUAGCUGUGUGUGUAGCAGCGAGUAAAUCCUCAGUUGUCAUUUGGCAUGUGGUGCUUAAAGGUGAACCGCUGCCUUCGGGGAUACGCAU